ACGACUGGGCAUUGCCCCCAGUUUCCCCCAAAUUUGGGCAUUGUCCCCGGGUCUUCCAACGGGCUGGGCGUUGCCCCCGGACAUUGGGGACUGACGGCCUUCGGGGUCUCGCUCACCUUCAGCGC
rnacentral:other from 1 species